CAACAGUAAUGUCCUCAGAUGAUGGAAAUCAGAUUUGUGUUUUGUGGCCAAAGCAGAGGUGCUGUAGACAGAGGUCUUUGCUCCAAGGGUCCAGUUCUGCUGGUUGAGGAAAGUUGGCAUCUCCUUCUCCAUCACUCAGUUUGUAACAGAUGUUAUCCUUUCUGGCUAAAAUCAGCAACUGUCUCCCAGGAUUGUAGAAUGUGC
rnacentral:lncRNA from 12 species